rnacentral:rRNA from 1 species
CCUACGGGCGGCAGCAGUGGGGAAUCUUCCGCAAUGGGCGAAAGCCUGACGCAGCGACGCCGCGUGAGUGAUGAAGGUCUUCGGAUCGUAAAGCUCUGUCAUCAGGGAAGAACAUGCCUGUAAGUAACUAUGCACGUCUUGACGGUACCUUAUCAGCAAGCCCCGGCUAACUACGUGCCAGCAGCCGCGGUAAUACGUAGGGGGCAAGCGUUAUCCGGAAUUACUGGGCGUAAAGCGCGCGUAGGCGGUGGUGUAAGUCUGAAGUGAAAGGCCAGGGCUCAACCGUGGAGGGGCAGGGGAAACUGGGAAGCUUGAGUGCAGGAGAGGAAAGUGGAAUUCCUUGUGUAGCGGUGAAAUGCGUAGAGAUAAGGAGGAACACCAGUGGCGAAGGCGGCUUUCUGGUCUGUAACUGACGCUGAGGUGCGAAAGCGUGGGGAGCAAACAGGAUUAGAUACCCCAGUAGUC